CAACGGGGCCAUUGAUAGCGAGCGAGCGAGCGAGCGCUGCGCCGGCCGCGUGCUUCUCGCCUCGCGCGUCAACGUUCGCGAUCCCCCCGUUCCCGAGACAAUUGUAUCUCGUUUCCGCGUCGCCGAUAUGAUCUCUUAAUUGAUCUAUCAACGCGUAGUGUGGUCUGUCUGUGACGUGUCCAGCUAUUAAUUACGUAUGCGGUGAAAUUUUAGGAAUUUUAAUUUCUAAUAUUUUUGAUUAUCGCGAUCUUUCCAUUAAAUCGUUUCGAUAAAAACAGGUCGAUGUUAAACGUGCAUGACAAUAAUUUUUCUGCGAGAAAUGUGUUGUGUCUUAUAUUGUAUUUAAAGGAAUCAAGUCGAUUAUGCAAAACAUGAGUGCCGAUUACAAGAACAAGAUUUACACCUGAAUCGAAUAUCUAUUGGAGGAAUUUCAUGGAAACUGGAUGAUUUGACAGACGCUAAAAGAUGAGAAAGAAACUUCAAGCAUAUCGUUUAAUCCGGACGACUUUCGAUCUUGAAUAAGAGAGGAUGGGAAGAAGAAGGCAGCCGCAGGAAACGAGCAGCGAUAGCAACAGCAUCCGAUCGUAUUCCAGUUGCGCGUGUAUGCCGGUCGAUGUGAGAGAAACGUCAAAAGCCGCCCUAUCAAAAGGUGGAAGGUGGAAGGUGACGGCAGGGAAGAUACAGAAAGAGGAAGAGGGAGAGAGAGUAGGAAGAAACAACGAAGAAAUUCUAACAUGGACGCGCUAUUUACUUUUUAAAGUUCGCAGGUGUUCACGUCAUUCACGGCCCUUGUCGCCGAUUGUUUUCUUCUUCCUGCAACCAGUGACGAAGCAAUAGCCCCCGGUCGUUCUCUUAUUCCGCGAUUUGUACAUGGAGAAAGAGAAAUAGAGAACACGUUGUUCACGUUACUGCGAUAGACCUGGGAUAGAUCAUGUGGAUUAAAGGACAAUCCGCGGUGGAAGAGAAAAGAGUGGAGUGAAAGAAGAGGAGAAAGAUAGACGAGAGAAGAAGUCGGGACAAGCGAGCUGCCGAGAGGAAGAGAAAGAAUAAAACAGAGAUAGGGAUAAGUCUUUUAACGCAGAAGAGAAGAAGAAGAGAUUCUAU